UACGUAGGGUGCGAGCGUUGUCCGGAAUUAUUGGGCGUAAAGAGCUCGUAGGCGGCUUGUCGCGUCGACUGUGAAAACCCGAGGCUCAACUUCGGGCUUGCAGUCGAUACGGGCAGGCUAGAGUUCGGUAGGGGAGACUGGAAUUCCUGGUGUAGCGGUGAAAUGCGCAGAUAUCAGGAGGAACACCGAUGGCGAAGGCAGGUCUCUGGGCCGAUACUGACGCUGAGGAGCGAAAGCGUGGGGAGCGAACAGG
rnacentral:rRNA from 1 species